rnacentral:lncRNA from 1 species
CUGUAGAUCCCGAAGGGCUCCUCGGGGGCAGCUGCCGGCUGACCUCACCUGCUGGUUCCACCAGUGCGCGCCCACGAAACCGGCAAAAUGUCCCAACUGCAGUAUCUCUCCGCUGGCUGAUAGCUCCCCGGGCAAAAAGAAAACCUUGCCAGAAAAGCGGAAGCUCCCCUAAAGCCUCCCAUGCCCCUUCAUCUCUUCAGAAGUCACGUGGACCACGACUAAUAACCUGUGGACUGGCUUAGCUAUCAUAUCUCUAUCAUUUACACGUAUUUAUCUAUCUCUGUGUAUCUAACACCUUAUGUAAAGAGAGUAUGUAUCUGUUGGCGUCUUUUGCUCAAUAUGGUUUAUGUAAUUCAUAUUUUUGCAAAUAUCUAUAAUUCAUUUUCAUCACUGCGGAAUAGUCCAUUGUAUGAAUACGCCACCACUGAUCUAUUCUAAAGAAAGAAUA